UACAUCCUUGUCUAGAGGAGCAUAAGUAUUCAAUGAACGUAUAGUGAGGGUACUGAUGCUGACACUAGUUAAAAAUUUUAACUGCAUCCGCGAGUAAGGUAUUUUAACGAAUAUCCACUCGUUUGCGAUGCAAUUUUUGAAAGCCUCUUUACUUCACAAGGGGCCA
rnacentral:ncRNA from 12 species